rnacentral:tRNA from 3 species
AAGGCUUUAAGUUAAACUAAACUAAUAACCUUCAAAGCUAGAAAUAAAGAAUUUACCUUUAAGCCUUA